rnacentral:lncRNA from 1 species
AGAAGCACUCUAGCUACAGAUUAGAAUGAUGACAAGAGUAAUACCUUCCUAGUGAAGAUGACUUUUAUUUCAGGACUAUAUUAAGUUUCCCAACUUCUGUCAUGAUAUAGUCCAAAGAGAACCUGGACCACGCAGACAUCAAACAGAACAUGACACUGACCCAUUCUAUCAGUGACGUUGUGCUGAUUGCACAGGACAGAUGAGAGGCUCGUAUACUAGAAGUCUUGAUAACUUGUUUUCUAGUUUCACAUGUCCACAGAUGAAGAAAAAUUGUGCCCCAGCAAGGAUUAUACCCAGAGCCUCAUCCAUUCAUACCUGAUUUAGAUACUUAGAUGAUGAGUAAUAGAAAAGGUGGUUAUCAAACCUGGGUCAAAGUUGAAUCACCUGAGGAUCUUUUAGAACAUACACAGUCAUAUGAUACUUCAAAAUCUGUGAUUCCAUGAAGCCAAGAGUAGCUCUUCAACAGGAAAUGAAUGAGUGCUUCAGCUUCUGAUCCCAUUAGUAAGAAAAUACAGUCUUAUGAGCAAUGAUGGAGCUGCAUCUCUUAGGGGCAUUUGAUUCCCAAGAGACCAAAGAGCAAAGAGAAUGUCAAUUUAAAAAAAUCAAAUGUUUCCAUGACUUAGCUAUUUAACUGCUUUAAAAUGAAUGAAUGCUGCUUCAAGUUCUUUCAAAUACCCCACAUCUUGGCAACAACGAAAGGAAUUAACAUGAAGAAAAUUUACAAUCUUUCAUCACAUCGAACAAUGUCCCACAUUUGAAAAGUUCACAGCACAGAUUUCUGGUUACUGAAAGAAAGGAAAGACCUUCUUUGGAUUUGAAUAAACAGAUGGACUUUCUUCUCCUUUU